GUGCUCGUUUCAGCAGCACAUGUACUAAAAUUGGAAAAAUACAGGGAAGAUUAGCAUGGCUCCUGCACAAAGAUGAUAUGCAAAUUAGUGAAGCGUUCCAUUUUUUU
ensembl:snRNA U6 U6 spliceosomal RNA